UACGAAGGGGGCGAGCGUUGUUCGGAUUUACUGGGCGUAAAGGGCGCGCAGGCGGCUCAUUUUGUCAGGCGUGAAAGCCCCGGGCUUAACCUGGGAACUGCGUUUGAUACGGAUGGGCUAGAGUUCGGGAGAGGAGAGUGGAAUUCCCAGUGUAGAGGUGAAAUUCGUAGAUAUUGGGAAGAACACCGGUGGCGAAGGCGGCUCUCUGGGCCAUAACUGACGCUGAGGAGCGAAAGCGUGGGGAGCGAACAGG
rnacentral:rRNA from 1 species